UACGUAGGGGGCUAGCGUUGUCCGGAAUCAUUGGGCGUAAAGCGCGCGUAGGCGGCCCGGUAAGUCCGCUGUAAAGGUCAAAGGCUCAACCUUUGAAUGUCAGUGGAUACUGCCGGGCUAGAGUCCGGAAGAGGCGAGUGGAACUCCUGGUGUAGCGGUGAAAUGCGCAGAUAUCAGGAAGAACACCAAUGGCGAAGGCAGCUCUCUGGGACGGUACUGACGCUGAGACGCGAAAGCGUGGGGAGCGAACAGG
rnacentral:rRNA from 1 species